GUACGUAUGCUCAUCAUACAUAUAAAAACAUCACUACUCUCAUCUCUUGCGUUGAGCCCAAUAUGGUUUUCUUUUUAUCAAAUUAUUAUAAUACAUACCUACUCAUCCUACUCAUUACAACUGAGAGGCUAUCCAUGUCUUAUUAUUAUCCGCUAUGAAAUAUGCAGAUAUACGUAUUAAUUUGCUUAAUCCAUUGUUGAUGGAAAUAAAAUGUCUCUUAGAUUUCUAUAUAUUUGUACAUUAUACCGUUUUACUAAGUCGAAUUAAAUGAUUUUGACCGGAUAAUGAUCGGCCGUCGACGUAGAACAUAAUAAUCCUCCGUAAGUCAUAUAAUUGCAGCGGGAUACAUAUUAUCCGUUUGUAUACGCAUAUAUUAUAGAUGUAGCGCACUCCAUUAUGAUGGUUCGGAAGGAAUACGUUUGCCACCGACGCCGGUGUAAUAGUCAAAAUUUGUUUUGAGAACACGGGUAAAAGUCAAUUAUUAUACCUAU